AAUAUUGGACAAUGGGGGGAACCCUGAUCCAGCCAUGCCGCGUGAGGGAAGAAGGUCCUCUGGAUUGUAAACCUCUUUUGGCGGGGGACAAACCUGCGCUACACGCGCAGCUGAGGGUACCCGCAGAAUAAGCACCGGCUAACUCCGUGCCAGCAGCCGCGGUAAUACGGAGGGUGCAAGCGUUGUCCGGAUUCAUUGGGUUUAAAGGGUGCGUAGGCGGCCUGGUAAGUCAGCGGUGAAAUCCCCCCGCUCAACGGGGGAACUGCCGUUGAUACUGCCGGGCUUGAGUUCGUGCGAGGUCGCUGGAAUGCGUGGUGUAGCGGUGAAAUGCAUAGAUAUCACGCAGAACACCGAUUGCGAAGGCAGGUGACUGGCACGCGACUGACGCUGAGGCACGAAAGUGUGGGGAGCAAAC
rnacentral:rRNA from 1 species